rnacentral:lncRNA from 1 species
GUUUACGAUUGAUUUGAAAUCUUUAUCAGGAGACAUACCUCUGCAAGUACUCGUACAUCAUCGACGACCGUAUGAAAAGAAAAUUUUGAAAAAUAGCAGCAGCAGCAGGAAUGGCACUUCGGGGGGGGAAGAAGAUGCGGAAGAAGCUGUACCUAUCUUUCCUUCCGAAUACUGAUGAAAACAGGACCAAGCAGCGAACCUUAACGGCAUCUCCCACGAACAUAGAAGGGUCAAAUACCUCCGGAGACAAGGUUGCUUAUAAUCCGGAGCCGAUAUUACCAGUUUCAAUUUCCAAUUUUGCCGUAAUGGUUGAACAGAAGAGAAUAUUCGUUUACAAUACUGAGUGGAUCGCGGAGGCGUUGAGUGGAAAAUUCAAAGAAUGGUACGAUGGAUAUCAUUAUGGUGACACCAUCAUAUUCAACCCAUACUCCGUGACUUUGGAAAUUGAUUCGAGGAAAUUUGAUAGUUUUUGGGGAAAUUCAGGUUCGAUAGAACUUAUCCAAAAACUUAUUUCUCUUGCAGGAAGUUUUGGUAUGCUGGAAUUACAUUUCCUGCUUUCUGGAUAUCCGUUAGAGAAUAAUCAUUAA